UGAAGGACGUGCUAAUCUGCGAUAAGCGUCGGUAAGGUGAUAUGAACCGUUAUAACCGGCGAUUUCCGAAUGGGGAAACCCAGUGUGAUUCGUCACACUAUCAUUAACUGAAUCCAUAGGUUAAUGAGGCGAACCGGGGGAACUGAAACAUCUAAGUACCCCGAGGAAAAGAAAUCAACCGAGAUUCCCCCAGUAGCGGCGAGCGAACGGGGAGCAGCCCAGAGCCUGAAUCAGUGUGUGUGUUAGUGGAAGCGUCUGGAAAGGCGUGCGAUACAGGGUGACAGCCCCGUACACAAAAAUGCACAUACUGUGAGCUCGAUGAGUAGGGCGGGACACGUGGUAUCCUGUCUGAAUAUGGGGGGACCAUCCUCCAAGGCUAAAUACUCCUGACUGACCGAUAGUGAACCAGUACCGUGAGGGAAAGGCGAAAAGAACCCCGGCGAGGGGAGUGAAAAAGAACCUGAAACCG
rnacentral:rRNA from 1 species